UACGGAGGAUCCGAGCGUUAUCCGGAUUUAUUGGGCGUAAAGCGAGCGCAGGCGGUUCCUUAAGUCUGAUGUGAAAGCCCACGGCUCAACCGUGGAAGGUCAUUGGAAACUGGGGAACUUGAGUGCAGAAGAGGAGAGUGGAAUUCCAUGUGUAGCGGUGAAAUGCGUAGAUAUAUGGAGGAACACCAGUGGCGAAGGCGGGUAACUGGACUGCAACUGACGCUGAGGCGCGAAAGUGUGGGGAGCAAACAGGAUUAGAUACCCCCGUA
rnacentral:rRNA from 1 species